rnacentral:snRNA from 1 species
GCUUGCUUCGGAAACACAUAUACUAAAAUUGGGAUGAUACAAAAAAUCAGCAUGGCCCCUGUGCAAGGAUGAUGCACAAAUUAGUGAAGUGUUUCGUAUUUCC